ACAAUCGUGUCUAGUAUGAAAAGUCCGACAUCAAUUUACGCAUUUGUUACUUUGUUAGAACGUAAAAUUUUAGGGUAUAUUCAAAUUCGUAAAGGACCAAAUAAAGUUGGUUUUAUUGGACUGCUACAACCCUUUGCGGAUGCUGUGAAGUUAUUUACUAAAGAGCAAACGGUACCUGUAAAAUCUAAUUUUCUUCCAUAUUAUGCUUCACCUGUUUUUAGUUUGUUUACUGCAUUAAUUGUAUGGUUAGUAAUUCCUUAUGAAAUUGGAAUAAUAAAUUUAAAUAUAGGAGUACUUUUUUUCCUGUGUUGUUUAAGAUUAGGUGUCUAUUCAACUAUAAGAGCUGGUUGGGCUUCUAAUUGUAAAUAUUCUUUGUUAGGUAGGCUCCGGGCUGUUGCUCAAACUAUUUCUUAUGAAGUUAGUCUUGCUUUAAUUUUGCUUUCUUUUAUUUUUUUAGUCGGAGGUUUUAGUUUAGAACUUUUUAAUUUAUAUCAAGAAAGUGUGUGAUUUUUGUGGGUCACAUUGCCGUUAGCUUUAAUUUGGUUUGCUUCUUGUUUAGCCGAGACAAACCGAACUCCUUUCGAUUUUGCGGAAGGCGAAUCAGAAUUAGUGUCUGGGUUUAACACUGAGUAUAGAAGAGGUGGUUUUGCUUUAAUUUUCGUAGCUGAGUAUGCUAGAAUUUUGUUUAUAAGAGCGCUGUUCGCAUUAUUAUUUUUAGGUGGGGGUCCUUCUAGUCCUUUUUUUUAUGCAAAGUUGGUAGGAGUAAGAUUUGCGUUUAUUUGAGUUCGAGGAACUCUCCCUCGUCUUCGUUACGAUAAGUUAAUAGGGUUAGCUUGAAAAAGAUUUUUACCAGUUUCUCUUAAUUAUUUAAUUUUUUUCAUGGGGAUAAAAAUACUAUGUUAUUGUUCUAUAAUUUAGUUUAUAACUAAUUUAGUAUAUUGAAAAUGUUACGAUAGUUAAGACGUUUUAGUGUCCUUAUUGAUGUUUUCAAAACAUCUGUUUUAAAUAAACUAAACUAUCAAUCAAGCAGUUUAUCUCACAAUAAAAGUGAAAGAGGAUUGACAAUGUAGUAAAGGAAAUAUACUACUGUUAGAAUUUGCCCUGUAAUAACAAAAGGAUCCUCAACAGGUCGAGCUCCAAUUCAGGUUAGAAGAAUAACAAUUGCAAUUAAAGAUCAAAACAAAAUUUGAUUUAAAGGAUAAAAAGUUAAUCUUCGAAAUUUAGAAGUAUGGGUAAAAGGUAAAAUUAUUAAAAUUGCGAUUGAUAUAGCCAGGGCGAUUACUCCUCCUAAUUUGUUUGGAAUUGACCGCAAGAUAGCGUAUGCAAAUAAGAAGUAUCAUUCAGGUUGAAUGUGUGCUGGUGUAACUAGUGGGUUAGCUGGAACAAAGUUGUCAGGGUCUCCAAGAAGGUAGGGAUUUAGAAGAGUUAAUAAAAUUAAUGCGGUUAGUAUAACUAUAAAUCCAACAACAUCUUUAAAAGUGAAAUAAGGAUGAAAUGGAACUUUAUCAAUAUGUCUUGCAAUUCCAAGUGGGUUGUUAGCUCCAGUUUGAUGAAUAAAUAAGAUAUGGAUAAGAGUCGCAGCUGCUACUAAAAAUGGUAAUAAAAAAUGAAUUGUAAAAAAUCGAGUUAGCGUUGCAUUAUCAACUGCAAAUCCACCUCAAAUUCAUUGUACAAGUUCAGUCCCAAUAUAAGGGAUAGCAGAAAAAAGGUUAGUAAUAACUGUUGCACCUCAGAAAGAUAUUUGACCCCAAGGUAAAACAUAACCUAGAAAAGCUGUUGCUAUAACUAUGAAUAAAAUAACAACACCCACUAUUCAAGCAUGAAAAAAUAAGUAGGAUCCAUAAUACAUACCACGUCCAAUAUGUAAGUAAAGGCAAAUAAAGAAAAAAGAAGCUCCAUUAGCAUGGAGUGUACGAAGAAGUCACCCGUAAUUUACAUCUCGACAAAUAUGGGCAACACUAGAGAAAGCUAAAUCAAUAUGAGCAGUAUAGUGUAUAGCAAGAAAAAGACCAGUAACAAUUUGGACAACUAAGCACAAGCCUAGUAAAGAUCCAAAAUUUCAGAAUGUUGAAAUAUUUUUUGGAAUAGGUAUAUCUACUAAAGCUCCGUUAGCAAUUUUAAAAAGGGGAUGGCUUUUGCGAAUAGGUGUCGUCAUUAAUAGGAUAGUCGAAGUGGUCUUGAAUAAAGAUUAAAAAUUUUUACAAUAACGAUAAGAGUCAAUAGGAGAUAAAGGACUAUAAAUAAAGUAAGAUAUUGUUGGUGGUCUAUAAAUAGUUCUUACUAGAGUAGAAGUGGUAUCAAGUGAAAACAUAUCUGAAGAAAUCGCUGAUCUAAUAAUAGAAAUAUCAGGAGUAAUAUAAAGAGGGUCUUUUAGUAUUAUAAAAAUUGUCAAAAAUAAAGAAAAUCUUGAAAUAACUAUUAAAGCUGUAGCUGAGAAUUUGAAUGGCUCGUUAGAAGCAAGUGAGGCAACAUAAAUAAAUAACACUAAUAUAGCCCCCCAAAAAAUAAGAAAAAGAAUGUAUGAAAAUCAAAAAGAAUUGUUGUUCAACCCUGCAGCAAGCGAAAUCAUAACAGUUUGUAUCAAUAAUGUGAGACCUAUAGAUAGAGGAUGAAUAAGACGUGUGAAAAGUAAUGAAGUUACAAAAAUAAGAGGAAGAAUAAAAAAUAAGAUUUCAGAGAGUAGUUUAAUAAAAUAUUAGUUUUGGGAAUUAAAGAUAAAAGUUUACUUUUUUCUCUGAAGUUUUAAGAAAAUAAAUUUCAUUUUUGGUUUACAAGACCAAAGUUUUGGUUUAAACUAUUAAAACUAAUGUCAAUUCUUAGAUUAAUAUUUAUUUUUGUUCCUCUUGUCGUUGUUUUCUGUGGGUUAUGAAAUUUUGUUUCUAACCGAAAACAUUUACUUAAGAGUCCUUCUAAGUUUAGAAUUUAUUAUAUUAGGCAUUUUUUGAGUCAUAGUAAUUUGUUUAGCUAAAGUAGGAAUCGAAGCUUAUUUUACUUUAUUUUUUUUAACUAUAGCAGCUUGUGAGGGUGCUUUGGGUCUUUCUUUAUUGAUUUCUAUUGUGCGGACUCAUGGUAACGAUUGCUUCAGAAGUUUUAGAACACUACAAUGUUAAAGUUCAUUUUUAUAAAUAUUCUAUUGAUUGCGUUUGUUAAAGAGUGGUGGUUUAUUCAAAUUUCUUUAUUUUUAAUGUGUUUUAUUUUCAGGUGUUUUAUGGGACAUGACUUUUCUGUUUCGGGGUUGGGAUUAAGACUAGGUUCUGAUCAUUUAGGUUUUAUUUUAAUUAUAUUAAGAAUAUGGAUUAUGGCUUUAGUUAUUUGUGCAAGUCAAAGAAUUAAAAAAACAAAUAACUCUACUAGAGGGUUUUUAGUUGUAAAUUUACUAUUGCUGUUAGCAUUGCUUUUAACGUUUUCAGCAACAGAUUAUCUUUUGUUUUAUAUUAGAUUUGAAAGAUCUUUAAUUCCUACUUUAAUUUUAAUUUUAGGCUGGGGUUACCAACCUGAGCGAAUUCAAGCUGGAGUUUAUAUGUUAUUUUAUACAUUGUUUGCUUCUUUGCCUUUGCUUGUUUCUCUAUUAAGAUUUUAUAGAUUGGGUGGUAGUCUAACGAUAGGUUUAGUACCAUGCGCUGAAAGAUCUAAUUUUAUUACUUUUAUGUGGUAUUUUUGUACAAUUUUUGCUUUUGUAGUAAAACUUCCUAUAUAUCUAGUUCAUUUAUGACUUCCUAAGGCUCAUGUUGAAGCUCCUGUAGCUGGAUCUAUAAUUUUGGCUGGUGUUUUAUUAAAAUUAGGUGGUUAUGGUUUGAUUCGAGUUCUCUUUUUAUUUCCUGAAGUAAAUAAAAUAUUUUCUUGAUUUUGAGUUAGUGUUAGAAUUUUAGGUGGAGUAAUUGUAAGAUUUAUGUGUUUACGUCAAGUAGACAUUAAGUCAUUGAUUGCUUACUCUUCAGUAGCCCAUAUAGACUUGGUAUUGAGAGGACUAGUGGUUUUUGGUUGAUGGGGUCAAAUUGGAGCUGUAGUAAUUAUGGUGGGACAUGGUUUAUGUUCGUCUGGACUUUUUUGUCUUGCUAACAUAGUUUACGAGCGUUUAGGAAGUCGAAGAUUAUUGGUGAAUAAAGGUUUAUUGAAUUUUAUACCUAGUUUGGGAUUGUGGUGAUUUUUAUUAAGAAUUGGUAAUAUAGCAGCUCCUCCUACAAUUAAUUUAUUAGGAGAAAUUAGACUAAUUUUAAGUGUAGUAAGGUGAAGAAAACUUAGCAUGUUUGGGAUUGGUUUACUGUCUUUUUUUAGAGCUGCGUACACUUUAUACAUAUAUUCGAUAAGACAGCAUGGGUUGUUUUUUAAUUCAUUGUUUUCUUGUUGUUCGGGAAAAGUUUCUGAAUACUUAGUUUUAAUAUUACAUUGAUUGCCUUUAAAUGUUCUUAUUGUAAAAACGGCUAUAAUUUUACCAAGAUUUUA